AGGAGCAACAGCCCCAGUGGCGGGGCAGCUCUGGAGCCCUGGAUUCAGCCCCCGCAGUAGCUCCGGAGCUCUCGGUCUGCAGGGCCUCGAGGCUCCGGGGCAGG
rnacentral:pre_miRNA from 1 species